GCAUGGCCAUGCCAUCCUCAGAAGCUAAGCAGCAUCAGGCCUGUUUAGUACUUGGAUGGGGGGCUGUCUGGGAAUACCAGGUGCUGUAAGCU
rnacentral:rRNA from 1 species